ensembl:lncRNA
CCCAAGGAGGAAGGAUCUUUAUCUGGAGAUCACUCCUCAUGAAGUCCUUCUGUGAGCCCAGGGCAUGGGAUGAAGCAAAUGUUUUAAAUUACAGCUACGGAGAGAGAAUUUAACUAAAGCAGAAAUAUGAGUCACAAAAACAUUCGUGCCGUAUUUUCAGGCUCCACUUGGAUCUGCGUAGGAAGAUUGUCUCAUCCAUGCAGAGCUCUGUGUGUACCAAUGCUCUGCUCAGGUGUUUCUGAAAACAUGAUGAGAGCUGAGGUCUGAGCAAUGGGGACUGCACUUCACUGUAUGUUUAAGCAUGGUACUGGCUUUACAGUUUGCACUGACUCAACACAAGGGAAAAGAUAAUUACACACAACAGCAACAACAAUGAAUCAAAACAUGCAGACCGUCAGACUUUUUUGAAAACUCAUGCAAUGGAAAUAGGCAUUGCCAUUAAAAGUAACUGAUCUGUGUUUCCUCUUUCAAACCUUUACUUUCUCACAUGCUACUGUUUGAUUCUGUUAGCAACCUCAGUGUAGUAAGGAGUUGCUGAUGAAGAGAAUACUAUAGGGCAGCAUUGUCUCCCCAGAGCCGUAGUGAGCUUAUUCUUAUACUCCUGGGAUCAUAGCAGAGGGCUCAUGCUCAGCUAUCUGUUUUGCUUUUUAUGUUUUCUUUAGUUGUUUUUCACUUUGGCGCUGAGUGGGCAGACAAGACUCUUGAACAAUCUGUAAUUACAUAGUGUCACAGUUGAUGAGGUUACAAAGGAGUAAAUAUGUAGUUGGUAUUAGAGAGGAUAUUUUUAACAAUACUCACUCUGCAUCUAAUAGAGUGCAUCUGUGUCCUCUGCGGGCCCUUUGCCUCAGAUAAUAUAAAAGGAGAGCAAUGAGGAAGAGAGGAGCAUAAUAAUAUCUGCAUAGUCUUCAGCGAAAUCAGUUUCUGCAAAUACACACUUGACAUCUGAACUCUUUCAUACCAGUACUGCUCCUAUUGAUGGCAGUGGCAUCUUUGCCCUUGAAUAGGAACAGGAUUGAAUUCUGACUGUUGGAUGUCUUAUGACACAAGAGGUGGAAGUUUCCCAGUGUGAUCUGAUUGCCAUAGUCAACAAGAAGAGUUUUAGUAGACCAUCAUGUGAGUAAUUCUUGACCUGGGGUCGUGACUGGGUCUCAGGGAGGCAUGACAACCCUCCUUUUUGGCUAACAGGGAGAGAACAGCAAUCUGAUACAUUUUUCUGCUGUAACAUGGGUUAUAACACAAGAUAGAAUAAAGCAGUUUCGUCAGCCUGCCUCUACUGGGUUCUUACAUGCUGUGUUUCCACUUCUGCUAGCCAAAUUUUGAUAUCAUGGUGAUACAGUACAACCUGACCUGGACAGCACAUGUCUGAAGUCAUGAAACCAUGUUGUAUUUAUACCACUCAGAGCUGAUGGAAAUAACCUUUUAAGGAGUCAAGGACUCUUUAAUUUUAUUUUGUGAAAGCAAUGUGAAAUGAUUUGUUUAAAAUCCCUUUGCCUGCUAAUGCUUGGUAUUCUGUGGCUGAAACAGUUACUAGGCAUGCUUUUGGUCAUCUUCAUUAAUUAUUUGUACUCCAACACAACCCAUGAAUUUAGGUAUCUUGUCCAAACAUGUGAAGUGAUGUUACUUGAAAGUCCACUAUUUCUGGAUUUCGGGGCGGUUGUGAGAAAAACUAGACCAAGUGUCAUUAAAUAGUGUCAGUUCACCUCUCCAUUUGCUCAGUAAUUACAAGUUGAAGAUGUGACUCAGACUUCUGGGAACAUCCCCCUACCUUCUCAGUGCCAGCAUGCUGAUGUUCAGCAAUGGCAUCUCCCUGUGCACGUGGCAGUGAAAUGGCAGGGCUCCCCUGUGACUGGGGAUACUUACUGCACAGCAGUAAAGGAAAAACCACUUUUCAAAAUACCUGUAAGAAAAUAAGACAAAAUUGAGA